UGCCAGCCGCCGCGGUAACACGUAUGGUGCAAACGUUGUUCGGAAUCACUGGGCCUAAAGAGCGCGUAGGCGGUUUGGUAAGUUAGGUGUGAAAUCCCUCGGCUCAACCGAGGAACUGCACCUAAUACUGCCUGACUAGAGUGCAGGAGGGGAGAGUGGAAUUCCUGGUGGAGCGGUGAAAUGCGUAGAUAUCAGGAGGAACGCCGGUGGCGAAAGCGACUCUCUGGCCUGCUACUGACGCUGAGGCGCGAAAGCUAGGGGAGCAAACGGGAUUAGAUA
rnacentral:rRNA from 1 species